CUGAUCGCAAUGAGAAAGAAGAGUAGGUUGUCUGUUACCGGCAGCGAGUCCCGUGAGGUGUGAGGGGAUCGGUUAACAUUCGACUGAAAAUCACUUUCGAGUCCUAAUCUUAAAAUCCAGUAAGAUUAGGUGGGUACACCCAUUAUCGUGUCAGCGUAUCGCUUAUUAGCCGUACGUGAAGAGGCCGGAGAACGGCCUGAAUAAAGGGUGGUACCACGCCACGGCGUCCCUUAA
rnacentral:ncRNA from 1 species